GCGUUAUUGGAGUAGUGGUUAACUUAUUGCCUUCCCAUUUUCAAACGAUAAGGCAGGGACAAGGGUUCGAACCCCUUAUAACGUA
rnacentral:tRNA from 1 species